GCCGGUGACGCAGCCCCAGUGAAAAACCAAAGUAAUGACUCUCAGCAACGGAUAUCUUGGCUCUUGCAACGAUGAAGAACGCAGCGAAAUGCGAUACCUAGUGUGAAUUGCAGAAUUCCGCGAAUCAUCGAGUCUUUGAACGCAAGUUGCGCCCGAGGCUUGUCCCGAGGGCAUGCCUGCCUGAGCGUCACCGCACUCCCACCUGGACACUCUCCAGUGUGGAAUUGGCUGUCCGGGACCCGGCGUGAAGCUAUGGGUCGCGGUGGGCUGAAAUGUAGCUAUCUGGGCAUUAGCCAAAGAGGGAGGUAGCGAGAAGGUGAUCUGCUCUUUGCUGAGUGGAGUCUAAUUGGACAGCGCCUCUCCCUGCGGUGGUCUAGACGGUGGCACUUCCUGUGUCAUUGGGGAGUGCAAGUAAUGUUGCAUCUCCCCCUCCUUUACAGCUUGGACCUCAGAUCAGGCAAGAUUACCCGCUGAGUUUAAGCAUAUCACUAA
rnacentral:rRNA from 1 species